rfam:Parcubacteria bacterium C7867-004 C7867_00001, whole genome shotgun sequence.
GCUCCUGUCUUUCAAUGGAUAGGAUAGCUCCCUCCGAAGGAGCCGAUGCAGGUUCGAUUCCUGCCAGGAGCA